rnacentral:rRNA from 1 species
GACAGAGGGUGCAAACGUUGUUCGGAUUUACUGGGCGUAAAGCGCGUGUAGGCGGCUUUGCAAGUCGGAUGUGAAAGCCCACGGCUCAACCGUGGAAGUGCAUCCGAAACUGCAUGGCUUGAGUCUCGGAGAGGAAGGUGGAAUGCUUGGGUGUAGAGGUGAAAUUCGUAGAUAUUGGGAAGAACACCGGUGGCGAAGGCGGCGAGCUGGUCCAUUACUGACGCUGAGGCGCGACAGCGUGGGGAGCAACAGG